rnacentral:rRNA from 1 species
GACGAACGCUGGCGGCGUGCUUAACACAUGCAAGUCGAACGGAAAGGCCCUGCUUUUGUGGGGUGCUCGAGUGGCGAACGGGUGAGUAACACGUGAGUAACCUGCCCUUGACUUUGGGAUAACUUCAGGAAACUGGGGCUAAUACCGGAUAGGAGCUCCUGCUGCAUGGUGGGGGUUGGAAAGUUUCGGCGGUUGGGGAUGGACUCGCGGCUUAUCAGCUUGUUGGUGGGGUAGUGGCUUACCAAGGCUUUGACGGGUAGCCGGCCUGAGAGGGUGACCGGCCCCAUUAGGACUGAGAUACGGCCCAGACUCCUACGGGAGGCAGCAGUGGAGAAUAUUGCACAAUGGGAGGAAGCCUGAUGCAGCAACGCCGCGUGCGGGAUGACGGCCUUCGGGUUGUAAACCGCUUUCGCCUGUGACGAAGCGUGAGUGACGGUAAUGGGUAAAGAAGCACCGGCUAACUACGUG